rnacentral:lncRNA from 10 species
AGAGGUGUUAUCUAAGUAUAGGAGAGAUGAAAGAAUUCUAGACAAAGGAACAGCACAUGCAAAGGCCCUGGGGCUGAAAGGAGCAUGGCAGGGGCGGUGUGGCUUACAGAGAGCAAAUAGCCUGGUGCAGGCCUCUGUAGGCUCAGUAGUAUGGCCAUUUUUUUUUUUUUUUUUUUUGAGGUGGGGUCUUCUGCUGUCACCCAGCUGGAGUGCAGUGACACAAUGAGGGCUCAUUGCAGCCUUGACCUGCUGGGCUCAAGCAAUUCUCCCGCCUCAGCCUCCCAAGUAGCUGGGACCACAGCUGCAUGCCACCAUGCCUAAUUUUUUUAUUUUUUGUAGAGAUGGGGUUUCACCAUGUUGGCCAAGCUGGUCUUGAACUCCUGACCUCAGGUGAUUUGCCCCCCUCAGUCUCCCAAAGUGUUGGGAUUACUGGCUUGAGCCACCGCACCCGGCCUGAUUUGCAUUUUUUCUAAGUCAGCUGAAAGUCUUAUUUUUCCACUGGAUAUAAUGUAUUGUUAUCCUCUAUCUGCUUUUAAUAUUUUCUCUUCACCUUUGGUUUUCAACUGUUGGCUGUGACACGCCUGGGUGUGGUUUUCUUGGUGCUUGCCUUGCCUGGGGUGUCUUGAGCUUCUGCAAAAGUUUUCAGUUCUUAUCUCUUCAAAUAUUUUUCCUGUCUUAUUCUACCCAUACUUCCCUACUCUAACCCCAAUUUCAUGUAUGUUGCCCAACUUGGUAAUAUAUGAAGGGUCUUACUUUGUUGCCCAGGCUGGAGUGCAGUGGUAUGAACACAGCUCACUACAGCCUUGACCUCGCAGGCUCAGGUGAUCCUCCUGCCUCAGCCUCCUGAGUAGCUAGGAUUACAGGUGUGCAACACCACGCCCAGCUAAUUUUUUGUAUUUUUUGUAGAGACAGGAUUUUGCCAUUGUUGCCCAGGCUGGUCUCAAACUCUUGAGCUCAAGCAAUCCGUCUGCCUCGGCCUCCCAAAGUGCUAGGAUUACAGGCAUGAGCCACCUUGCCUGGCUUUUCCUAUUUCAGUCAACAAAUGUUUCACUUGCCUAUUCCAAUUCUUCAUCAAACCAUCACUCUGGGGAGGAUGUCUCCGCCACUGUUGGACACUAUGUGCUGUAAAAUGUGUUCCUUGGUCUGAAGAAAUGUGACCUGGCAGAGUCCAAAUUGGUACCUUUUUUUUUUUUUUUUUGAGAUGAAGUCUCGCUCUUGUCCCCCAGGCUGGAGGGCAAUGGAUGGCGCGGUCUCGGCUCACUGCAACCUCCACCUCCUGGGUUCAAGCGAUUCCCUUGCCUCAGCCUCCCAAGUAGCUGAGAUUACAGGCACCUGCCACCAUGCCCGGCUAAUUUUUAUAUUUUUAGUAGAGACAGGGUUUCACCAUGUUGGCCAGGCUGGUCUCGCACUCCUGACCUCAGGUGAUCUGCCCACCUCGGCCUCCUAAAAUGCUGGGAUUACAGGCGUGAGCCACUGCGCUCAGCUGAGUUCCAGUCCUUUUACUGUGCUGUGAGCAUUUGCAUCUACCACAGGGAAGCUGAGCCCAGUGUGCAGAGUGACUGUUCCUGCCACGACUUACACUUCCUGGGGCUACAGGCUUCAGUGUGACUUGCCUAUCAAGCCUCUCGUUGACAGACAGAACAGUUACUGGUGUUUUGUGCCUCAGAGGGUGCAAGGGGAACAUGUCUAGACUCAGUCCAUCCCUGCACUGUGGCAACCCCGUAUGUCCCUCAUAUCAUGAGGCCUCCUUAAGUGAGCACACCAGAAUAUCCACUGACUGAAUCCAAUCACCCCCUGAUCCUGGAAUGGGGUUCUUCUGAUGAACAUCAAACGUCCUACUUUAAUGUACCCCUCCGACUCCCAUAAUGAUGUCCACAGGCCCAUGUGGACCUAUUAGUGGGAUCACUAAUAGGCCAGUUUUCCAUUGCCCUUCUGCUGACUGUGCGGGCAGGUUGGCCACUGCCCGUGAGAUGUAGCACAAACACCAGUCAAUUCAACCUGCUGAGGUGAUUUGUUUUUACCUUCUUUGAUGGUCUUCCAGAUAGGAAGCUGUCCUGUCACCUUGAAAGCCGCCUGUCAUCCAUAAACCAGGCGGCUCUUGUUGGUCAAUAGAGAGCUGUUCAUAGGGCACUCACUGCCCAUGUGGCCCGUGAAACUCCUUAGGUGGCUCUGAAGUUGCCUGUGGGGGAAGAGGCACCCACUUGGGACGGCCUUCUUGCAUUCCCCAGAUAGCAUGUUUCCAGAAAAAUCAUUUCCAAAUGAUGAUGGACCCUUCUGGGCACUGCCCUCCUAUCAGAGUAUUUCCCCAACAUCACCCAAGAAAUUAUAAGUAUUUCAGGUUUCAAGGUUAUUUUAUGUCCUUAAGUCAUAGGGGCAAUUGGACUUUAAUUAAAUCCAAUAGCAAGUUAGUCAAAUGGAAAUUUCCUGGUCCAAAAUCCCAGUGGUUGCCACUAGGUGGCACUCCGGCUUUUGCCCUCAGGUCCAGUCUGCUCCUCAGCGGGGCUACGGUACAACAAAUGAACAACUUGCACAGGCUUGGGCAAUCUUACUGGUUUCCAUCAAGUACAUCCAAUCAAUAUUGGCAGGUGGGGAGAUUCACAUGCCUUCCGCUUUAGCAUGCUAGGUAAGAGAAACACCUCAGCCAGACCCAAUAUCCACCCCCAUAGUACAUUCAGGUAAAGGAGCUGCAGUCGCUUUGCAUAAAGCCUGCUCAACCCUCACCGUUUCCAUUCCAUCAGGUAUCACAUUCCCAUAUUCUCCCAGUCGAACUCUCGCUCCCAUUGGGACUUCACAAAUAGAUUUUGGAAUCACAGAGCUUGGGUUCCACAAAAAGGUGUCCCAGUAAAGUCUCUCCUGCAGCCCCUGACCAUUUCACCGGCUCAUGUCCACAUGGCCUUGGGUCCGCAGUGGGUGUCAGUCAUUAUCUUGAUUAGAUUGUGGCACAAUUGCCCCAGGUGACUACCUAUCAGCUUUCUCCUUGUCAUCUUUCCCUCUGGCCUUUUUUUUUUUUCCUGGAGACGGAGUCUCACUCUGUCGCCCAGGCUGGAGCGCAAUGGCGCGAUCUCAGCUUACUGCAACCUCUGCCUCCUGGGUUCAAGCGAUUCUCCUGCCUCAGCCUCCUGAGUAGCUGGGAUUACAGGCACCCGCCACCAUGCCUGGCUAGUUUGUCUGUUUGUUUGUUUGUUUGCUUUUUAGACAGAGUUUUGCUCUUGUUGCCCAGGCUGGAGUGCAA